GAUGAACGCUAGCGGGAGGCUUAACACAUGCAAGUCGAGGGGUAGGGAAGCAAUUCCUGAGACCGGCGGACGGGUGCGUAACGCGUACGCAACCUGCCUUUAACUGGGGGAUAGCCCGUGGAAACGCGGAUUAAUACCUCAUAGGUCAUUUUUGUCGCAUGGUAAGGAUGAUAAAGAUUUAUUGGUUAGAGAUUGGCAUGCGUCUGAUUAGCUAGUUGGUAGGGUAACGGCCUACCAAGGCGACGAUCAGUAGGGGUUCUGAGAGGAAUACCCCCCACACUGGUACUGAGACACGGACCAGACUCCUACGGGAGGCAGCAGUGAGGAAUAUUGGUCAAUGGGCGGAAGCCUGAACCAGCCAUUCCGCGUGAAGGAAGAAGGCCCUACGGGUUGUAAACUUCUUUUCUGUAAGAAGAAUUAGCUCCGACGUGUCGGGGUGAUGACGGUAUUAUAGGAAUAAGCAUCGGCUAACUCCGUGCCAGCAGCCGCCGUAAAAC
rnacentral:rRNA from 1 species